rnacentral:rRNA from 1 species
UACGUAGGCAGCGAGCGUUGUUCGGAAUUACUGGGCGUAAAGAGUGUGUAGGCGGUGCUCUAAGUUCGGUGUGAAAUCUCCCGGCUUAACUGGGAGGGUGCGCCGGAAACUGGAGUGCUCGAGCGUGGGAGAGGAAAGCGGAAUUCCUGGUGUAGCGGUGAAAUGCGUAGAUAUCAUGGGGAACACCGAAAGCGAAGGCAGGAGACUGGAGCAUUCUUGACGCUGAAGCACGAAAGCGUGGGUCGCGAAUGGG